rnacentral:rRNA from 1 species
CUGAUGCAGCCAUGCCGCGUGUAUGAAGAAGGCCUUCGGGUUGUAAAGUACUUUCAGCGGGGAGGAAGGGAGUAAAGUUAAUACCUUUGCUCAUUGACGUUACCCGCAGAAGAAGCACCGGCUAACUCCGUGCCAGCAGCCGCGGUAAUACGGAGGGUGCAAGCGUUAAUCGGAAUUACUGGGCGUAAAGCGCACGCAGGCGGUUUGUUAAGUCAGAUGUGAAAUCCCCGGGCUCAACCUGGGAACUGCAUCUGAUACUGGCAAGCUUGAGUCUCGUAGAGGGGGGUAGAAUUCCAGGUGUAGCGGUGAAAUGCGUAGAGAUCUGGAGGAAUACCGGUGGCGAAGGCGGCCCCCUGGACGAAGACUGACGCU